rnacentral:rRNA from 1 species
GGGGAGCGGCAGACGGGUGAGUAACGCGUGGGAACGUACCUUUUGCUACGGAAUAACUCAGGGAAACUUGUGCUAAUACCGUAUGUGCCCUUCGGGGGAAAGAUUUAUCGGCAAAGGAUCGGCCCGCGUUGGAUUAGCUAGUUGGUGAGGUAAAGGCUCACCAAGGCGACGAUCCAUAGCUGGUCUGAGAGGAUGAUCAGCCACACUGGGACUGAGACACGGCCCAGACUCCUACGGGAGGCAGCAGUGGGGAAUAUUGGACAAUGGGCGCAAGCCUGAUCCAGCCAUGCCGCGUGAGUGAUGAAGGCCCUAGGGUUGUAAAGCUCUUUCACCGGUGAAGAUAAUGACGGUAACCGGAGAAGAAGCCCCGGCUAACUUCGUGCCAGCAGCCGCGGUAAUACGAAGGGGGCUAGCGUUGUUCGGAUUUACUGGGCGUGAAGCGCACGUAGGCGGACUUUUAAGUCAGGGGUGAAAUCCCGGGGCUCAACCCCGGAACUGCCUUUGAUACUGGAAGUCUUGAGUAUGGUAGAGGUGAGUGGAAUUCCGAGUGUAGAGGUGAAAUUCGUAGAUAUUCGGAGGA